UUGACCCAGAGAAUUUCCUGGAUGAGAAUGGCCGUUUCAAGAAGAACAAUGCCUUUGUCCCAUUCUCCUCAGGGAAGCGGAUCUGUCUGGGUGAAUCUUUGGCCUGCAUGGAGCUUUUCCUCUUCUUCACCACCAUCCUCCAGAGUUUCCAUCUGAAGCCCACUAUCCCCCCUGAAGACAUUGACCUAACUCCUCUGGAAAGCGGCUUGAUCACUGUCCCACCCUUCUACCAGUUCUCCGUCACCCCACGCUGACCCAAAGGGCUCAUUGUCUACAGCCAUAACUUCCUUACAGAUGUUAAAUACCACAGCUUUUGUUUUCAGCUCCAUGAAGAGAGUGAUGAAGUCCAUGAUUCACUGCAGACCAAGAUAUAUGCUUUCCUACUAAAAUACGAGGGGUAUUUUUAAGUAAGGUCCAUUUGAACAUAAGUACACAACGAAAGUUUAUUUCAAAAAAGUAAAUUUAUUUUCAGAAAGUACAUACUUCACUCUAUUUUUCGACAUAGUUGCCAAGUUUGUUCAAACACUUAUCAUACCUCUGAACCAAUUUUAAAAUACCCUCUUCAUAAAAACGUGCCGCCACCAAAAGCCACCAAAUCGUCUGUAAUCAAAGAAGGGCGACCGGAGUGGUCCUCAUCAUGGACGUUGUCACGGCCAUCUUUGAAUUGUCGUACCCACUUACGCACUUUGCUUUCACUCAUAACAGUAUCACCGUACACUUCACAAAUCUGUCAAUGAAUUUCUGCAGCAGGCAGGUUCCUUGCUGACAAAAACCAUAUCACUGAGCAAACCUCACAUGUGGAGGGUGAGUUGAUAGUCUUAAACAUUUUUAAAGCACAGAACAGAACUGUACAGGUUAGCUACAGAGCGGAAAUUGAGCACAGUUGUUCCCGAGGCAUGCCGGUACACCACGCACGCGCUCGUUGCAGUAUGCGCGCGAACUACUAGUGUCUACAACAAAACUUACCUUACUUAAAAAAUACCCCGUACUAUAAUCCUCUCUACUGUUUUUAUCUCUGUACCUAAAGAAUAUGUAAAUCUUGAAAUUUAAAAUAUAAUAACAAAAUAUUUCUUGCAUUGGACUGAUCUGCAAUCAAUGGAUCUUUGUGGCCACUGUCCAGCUUCCAGCUGGUUCCUGUGGUGCCGUGUAGGUGCUCUGCAUGGAACCAGAUCCCUAUAAUCAACCUCCUGACCAGGCUUAGAUGGCUGUGUGGAAUCAGUCUAAAUUACACAGAUAUCUUGUUUUGUGGUUGUUGUUGAUGUUGUUGUUAAGGGGGAUUAUUUCUCUUCACCCAGUUUUCCCAUUAAUUUUGGAAACAGGAAAUUUUCCUUAGUUGCCCAUUCCAUUUUUCCUUUCAUUUAUUGUCUCUAUCCUCUUUCAAUAUUCUUUCCUCAUCCAUCCCAUAUUUGGGGAACAUGUCCUAAACCUAAAUUUCUUCCUAACUUCCUCUUAUCCAUCUGCAACUCAAGUCCCACUCCUAAAAUCUUUCUCUCUCUCUUUCUCUCUACCCCCACUUUCAUCCCUUCUUUCUUUUUCUUUCCUUCCACCCCCUCAUACCUUUUCUGCUUUCCUUUCCCUUCCCUCUCCCUAUCCUUCCUUCCUUCUCAUCCCUUUUCUCCUGUCUCUAGCUCACUGGAGGGAAGGA